ACGGAAUAGAUACCCCGGUAGUCCACGCCCUAAACGAUGUCUACUAGUUGUCGGGUCUUAAUUGACUUGGUAAACGCAGCUAAACGCGUGAAAGUAGACCGCCUGGGGAGUACGGUCGCAAGAUUAAAACUCAAAGGAAUUGACGGGGACCCGCACAAGCGGUGGAUGAUGUGGAUUAAUUCGAUGCAACGCGAAAAACCUUACCUACCCUUGACAUGGAUGGAAUCCCUGAGAGAUUGGGGAGUGCUCGAAAGAGAACCAUUACACAGGUGCUGCAUGGCUGUCGUCAGCUCGUGUCGUGAGAUGUUGGGUUAAGUCCCGCAACGAGCGCAACCCUUGUCAUUAGUUGCUACGAAAGGGCACUCUAAUGAGACUGCCGGUGACAAACCGGAGGAAGGUGGGGAUGACGUCAAGUCCUCAUGGCCCUUAU
rnacentral:rRNA from 1 species